GUCUGGUUGGAAAGUCUUAUUUAUUUAUUUAUUUAUUUAUUUAUUUAACGAAACGCGAGUGUAUUUUCUCCUGCCGGGUGCCUCCUCCACGCCGGCCGCUCCGAGCGGAGCAGAGCUCCACGGGAUCCGGAGCUCCAGCCCCGCUCCAGGUGCAGCGUGCGGAGCGGCUCAUAGGUGGCAGAGCAGAACCUGCCGCGCCUCGAUCUGCGCUCUCGGCGCCGCGCAGAGCGGCGCGUUGCGAUGUAUGUGACAGCGCAACAACCUGUUGGAACACCGCGCCGCUCCGCAGCUGGGGAUCCCUCGUGGUUUGUGUGGGCCGACGGCCUCGGCCCCUCUCCCCUGCCGUCAUAACAAGGGUGCAGGGCGAGGUGGGAGCAGAUCUCAGAGCUCACCCAGUUUACAGCCAAGAGGAGUGAAGGGGAGAUGUCCUGCUGAAAUCUGUUUGGCAAGUCAGUAGCAAUGCCGUCUGUAGAACUGAGCUCUUCAGAGUCUUCAUCCUGUGCUGUAUCCACUGAGGUAUCCCCUGCGAGGCCUAAUCAGAAGUGUUGUGCCAUUUAGCAACCGCUGCCGGAACUGGAAUCAUGCUGUCAUGAGUCUCAGAUAACUUACAGGAUCAAGUGAACUGCAUUAUUCAGGAGCAGGCUGCAGUGGCCUUCCUGAGACAGAUACAUGCAAUUGUGAGGAAUCAUUAAAUAACUGUUAACCACACCUGUACAGAGCCUCUGGCAAUGCUGGCUUGUACAGAAACUCAAGAACUGCCAUGUGCCUGACAUCAUACCUUUGGAAGAAAAGAGAAGUCCUGGGUGUUAGCCCAAGACUGGUUCCACAGAAAUAAAUAGGAGGCUUUACUUUCAGUGCAACCUAUGUAUGUGAAUUCUGCUUUCCAGAGAGUGAGUUCUCAGAACUGCUGCCUGAAAUUGUAAAUGCCUACACAUGUUGUCACAUCAAGGGCUUGUCAUCAUCUCAACUCAAAGCAGGUGUUUGCAACACAUGAAGCAAUCACCUGGGAUACACUAGAGAGCUCUACAUGUAUUUGAGCCUGGAUACUGCUCACUCAUUAUCCUUGCUGAUGCAGAAGGUCUGUUUUGUAACAUCUUUCUAUGAAAAGCUAGAACAUCAGUGCUUGCUCCUGGAAAAGGUGAGUUAAUAUAUGUAUGCAUAUACCCUGAUGCUUGCCUUUGCUUAACCAGUAGUAACAAGGAUAUCUUUACUGAUACCGUGAGCCUUCCCAAACUGUUAUUUCCACUGUUACUGAUAUGUUGCUUAACAGAACUAGCUUAAGCUUGCCAUACUGAAUCUUUCGUUGCUUGCGUUGCAUUGAUUGGUUAUCUUUUUCUGUUAACUUUCCAUAUAUAACUUAAUUAUGUUGUGACUAAUAGAAUGUGUUAUCAGAUGCUAUGGCCUUAUUAACUUCAGUGAAGUGUUGUGUGAUGACCUGGACAAUAAGUUGCACGUUUUUUUGUAUUUAACUGUCUCUGUUUUGGAUGAAGAUAACUGCCAGCAUGUGUGAUUGCAACCCUGUUGCCAAAAGAGGUGUGUUUGUUUAUGCCAGUGAGGUGACUGGCUGAUGGUAUAAAUAUAAUGACAUGGUAAUUACUGAUUACAGAUACAAUAAGGAUCAAAUUGUUUUCUAUACAGAAUGCUUUUAUUACACUGGCAGCGUAUCUUUUGUCUUGUCAUGUGAAGAAUGCUAACCAAGAGUAUGGCUCUUCAGAGCUGGAAACUCGAGUAAAAAUAAAAUUAAAUGCUUUAUUUCUGCAAAUAAAUGCAUUCAUCAUUGUGUAUUUGUUACUCACUAGCUAGGAAUGGUGUUCUCAGGCUUCCUAUUAUCCAACAUAACAGGAAUUAUUAAUAAUAGGGAAGUUGAUAAAUAUGCCAACAAUAUCUAGUUUUCUAAUUGUUCUUCCUUAAGUAUCUGACGGUUGAAGCAAACCAUGACUGAUCUCUUAACAAAGAAACUAAAAUGUAUGUACUGAUAGAAGUCAGUCUGUUCAUAGAUGUUUUCAGAUGGAAGUUGGCUUUUAAUAGCGAAUGGUAGCCCAGCGUUUUUCUGCUCUGCGCAGUCAGUACUUGUUACUGAAAGGUGCAUGCUGUGUGACACAACGUGUUGUGACUCCACAGCAAAAUGUUGCAAUACCUAUUGGUCAAAGUAUGUAGUAUUUCAGAGUUAUGCAUAACUGGGGAUUGCAACAGUCGCGAGUAGGAUAUAAGUGUUGGGAGCAUGCAAAAUGUGCUCAGUGUUUCCAUCUCAUUCAUAACUUUGACUCAGCAGUUCCAGCUGAUUAUUAUUAGUUCCUCCAACAAGCCUGGAUUGACCAAUGGAAUAUACCUAAACAUAUUCAAGUGGUUUCAUUAACCUCAGCCUAUGCACAAGUGCCUUUCUAAAUUGGAUUCACUGCACUAAUCGUGGUGCCUGUGCCAUUGUGUAUUGCAUCAAGCAACAAAAUAAGUAAGAAGCAAAGUGGUGAAAAAUGUCAUUUAAACUAGAAGUGAGGCACAUUUCAUUAAAAAGAGAAUAUACACCUUGUUCAUUACAGGAUUUGCUAAUGCUCGCAAGUUCUUCCAGCUCAAUUUAUGCAAAUCAUUAUUUAUGAACAGCUAUUAUCAACAAUACUAAUAACUUCAGUACUAUUAAUAGUAGAGAUCGGGACUAAUUGCCUGUUUUGAAUUGAGUUUUGUAACCUUUCAAUUUUUCUUAGUUUUGUGGCUGCUAAGCAAAGUCAGCCUCACUGGCUGACACACAACUCUGUUUUAUAGAAUGAGAUUCUGCCUUUGGACAGAAGAUUUAAACCAGAAUAAAAAGGUGGCUGAGAGGUUCUGCUUAUGCCAACAAAAAUGACAAAGGAAUAAAGUCUACACAAAUGCAUUCAGCAUGUUUUUCCCAGUCAUAUUAAAUUUGUAAUUUUAGGUAAAGCAUGGAAGGCUCUCUUGAGAGUUCUGUGCUAGAAGUGCUAUGUUAUGGUGAUUCCAAAUUAUGUGAGGGCAUUCUUAUAUUAGUUCUCUUCUGUUUUUCUGAUGGAAAAGAAGCAUUUCAUGAUCUACUGGCCAUUUCUUUACCUUCCUGGCUAUGGAAAAAGAAGAGUAAUAUUGACCUGACUAUACGCAAAAAGUAGAAGGCACGUUUAUGGAAGUGUAGAAAAGGGAAUACUCUGACAUUUUAUGCUGAUAUAUUCAAAAUGGUUCAAGGAUGGCUACAUUGUGAGUUAUUCUGCAGACUCUAUGGGGCCCUUGUUCUGUCUAAUGUGGCAGUGAUGCACCAUGCAUGUGCCCUGUGUAAGACACAUGAAAAAACAUAAGUGUGAAUGAUAGUAAUGGAGAUAAUAUUGCUUCUUAUAAAUAAUAAUUAAUGCUAAUUAAUGUUGACUCUGUAUGCUGUGGCUUGGAUGAAACUCUGGCAGGAACUGGCAGACACGCUGAUAUGAAAUCUCCACCCACAGAGAUCUGCUGAAAGAGCAGUAUCUGGUAUAAGGGGAGCUGCCCUUGUAAGUGCAAAGAAUACAAGUUUUUUUUCUAAUUACUUUUCACAGAGGAACUAGGUUUCCAGCUUUGAAGUCUCUGCACACACUGGUCUCUAGGACUUGCAGACGUGGAACAAAUGCAAGACCAGAUCAUGUUCCUUAUGUCAGCUUAUAAACUGUGUUUCAUGCUAACUGAAAAUAGCACUUGUAAUAUGAUGUUCUCUCAUAAAACCAGCCCUUUCACAUAUGUACCUGUAGAUACCAACACAUUUGUUUGCGACAAGCAGUGCCCUUUCCUGAAUGGGGUGGGGGCAGCUGAGCUGUGCUGCUGUGGCUGUACCAUGAGAUAUGGGAAUGUGUGCUACACAGACUGCCCAUAGGGAGGCUAAUGCCUCUGUACUAGUCCCUGGUAAACCUGUAUCUGCCUGUGUGCGCACAAAUGCAUACUGUUUUCCUCUGCCCCUUCCUCCCACUCAGUGUUGCCUUCCUUUCUGCACUGCCCUCAAGCCAGGAGGUCAGCACUACCACUUCUUUCUGUAUUUUCUUCUCUAGUCAUAGCUUUCUUUUUUUUCUGUUGGGGAUUGUUUGGCUGAUUUAACGUUUUCCUGGAAAGAAAGGGAUAAUGCUUAGAAAAAAUAGGAUGCUUUUUUCUUCUUCCAGGCAAAAUGUGUAGGGGGGACAUUCUUUUUCUUGAGGGAGGAGAUCUUAGCUAGCAGGGAGGGGAUUUCCCCUAACAGAACAAUUUUGCUUAAGCUCCCCUGAGACAAAGGAGUCGUGAGCCUGUGUGUAGUGGGUGUUAUAGAGAAUGUGUGGCUGAAUGACUAGUAUCCAUCAGAGCAUAAUCCAGCUGCCCACAGGGAGAGAAAGAGGUUGUAUGUGGCCUUGGAAAUGAGAUGGAAAUGGGGAGGAGGAAGUGCCCAGGUGUUACUGGCUUGACAAGAAGAGAUGUAGGGUCCCUGAUCACCUGUGUGACCAGCAAGCAUUCUUGCUGAAAGCUGUAGGCUAAGCCAUGUAUAAGAUCAGCUCUGUGACUCCAGCAGCUGCCUGUUAAGAAGUGUAUGCUGCAGGAAAACUUGGCCUAUGGAGCUGUAUUACCUGGCAUUUUGAAGGUAAGAUUCUGUUUUCUUGUUUGUUUGUUUGAUCCCCACUUGGGGAUCAGUUAUAUUUUGAGAUGACUUGACUUGAUACGUAUCUCCUUAGCACACAUGUUGAUUCAACACUUCGAGGAUCGUGUUUCUUUGUGGUACGGAGCUAUUUAUGACAAUAUUUGUGGUAGGCUGAUGACAUCCUUGUGAUCAAGAAGAAUAAGCUGUGUAUUUUUUUUUUUUUGAGAAUGUGUUAAACCAGUUCUGUCAAAAUAGAGGUAACAAAUACCAGUAAUUGUUUCGACAGUUGAAAAGAAGUAAUUCCCCACAAUUUUUGAAAACAUUGUAGGUAAUAAUUUGAAGAUGUAUGGAGACCUAUACUUACCUCUACACUUCUGAAGCUGAACAUAGAAUAUAGUACUUGUUUGAGCCUGGAGUCUGAAAAAUCUUGAUUUUUUUUAAAAACAUUUUUUAUUUUUUUUCAUGGCAUUAAAGAAUGGCUUAGGCUGGGAGGAAGUUUGAAGAUAAUCCACUUCCAUCCUCCUACCACAGGUGGGGACACCUCUCUCUAGAUCAGAUUGCUCAAAACCCCAUCCUACCAGGCCUUGUACACCUCAAGGGAUAGGACAUCCACAACCUCUCUGGGCAGCCUGUAACAGAGCCUCACCGCUCUCACAGUAAUGAACUUCUCCCUACCAUGUAGUCUGAAUCUCCCCUCUUUUAGUAUAAAGCUGUUACUCCUUGUCCUAUCACUACACUGCCUGAUGAAAGAGUCCUUCUCCAGCUUUCUUGUAG
ensembl:lncRNA